rnacentral:rRNA from 1 species
GAUGAACGCUGGCGGCGUGCUUAACACAUGCAAGUCGAACGAAGCACUUUAUUUGAUUUCCUUCGGGACUGAUUAUUUUGUGACUGAGUGGCGGACGGGUGAGUAACGCGUGGGUAACCUGCCUUGUACAGGGGGAUAACAGUUGGAAACGGCUGCUAAUACCGCAUAAGCGCACAGCAUCGCAUGAUGCAGUGUGAAAAACUCCGGUGGUAUAAGAUGGACCCGCGUUGGAUUAGGUAGUUGGUGAGGUAACGGCCCACCAAGGCGACGAUCCAUAGCCGACCUGAGAGGGUGACCGGCCACAUUGGGACUGAGACACGGCCCAAACUCCUACGGGAGGCAGCAGUGGGGAAUAUUGCACAAUGGGCGAAAGCCUGAUGCAGCGACGCCGCGUGAGCGAAGAAGUAUUUCGGUAUGUAAAGCUCUAUCAGCAGGGAAGAUAAUGACGGUACCUGACUAAGAAGCACCGGCUAAAUACGUGCCAGCAGCCGCGGUAAUACGUAUGGUGCAAGCGUUAUCCGGAUUUACUGGGUGUAAAGGGAGCGCAGGCGGUGCGGCAAGUCUGAUGUGAAAGCCCGGGGCUCAACCCCGGUACUGCAUUGGAAACUGUCGUACUAGAGUGUCGGAGGGGUAAGCGGAAUUCCUAGUGUAGCGGUGAAAUGCGUAGAUAUUAGGAGGAACACCAGUGGCGAAGGCGGCUUACUGGACGAUAACUGACGCUGAGGCUCGAAAGCGUGGGGAGCAAACAG